AAGAGAUGCACAAUUAGAUUGUUUUCAUUUAAACCUGCAGUAGGCAGAAUGUUUUUGGCAUCAUUCCAUAAUAACCUUUCAGCAUAUCGUAAUUCAAGUGUUCUGAGAUAUAACUAGACUUCUGCACCUCCUCAUGGCUCUGUUUUCAGGCUUUAAAUAAUCUAACCCGUGACGGGAGACUUUGACCAAUCACAGGUCUUUCCACAGGUCUACUCCAGUUUUAUCCAUUGUUAAAGGGACUGUAUGUUUAAGCACCUUCUACCCAAAAGUUAAGACAAUGUCAUACUCACAAAUCUUACAACAGCCAUUUGCGGCAGUCUGAAUUGUGCCCUGAGGAGGUUGGCGGUUCCACAGGACCACAUGGCUUGUAAACUUUGUUGGGCGGGCAGUCACUUGCUGUUAGUGAAGAAAAGAACUGAAUUAGUUAUUUUUAAAAUACGUUCUGCUUACCUACUGUAUACAAUAAAAU